GGGGCCACUGGCUUGAUGGAUGGCGUAGACGGCCAGUUUAUCUCCACGUGUACGGCUGGUGGGCUGUCGUAAGAUGGAGCCAAGGAAACCCCGAAUGCCAACGUCCAAUCCACCAGCCCUGACCCCCUCGUCGUCCUCCUCCUCCUCCAUCACCGCCGGUGGAGGAGAUGGUGGGCUGGCGUUCGGUAGUGGAAGGAGCGGAGGCGGGAGACGCGACCAUUUCAGCUCUUUCGACGACGGCUACAGGCGCUUGAAAUAGCGAAGCUUCUGAAGAAGCUCAAUAAGCCAGCAGAAAAGAUAAUAUUACCUGCUGUACUAAUUUUAGCGUUUUCGUUUAUAUAGUUAAAUUUAAAAGUCUGGCGUCCUUUGCUUUGUUGAUGAUUUCGAAGAAUAACUUUAAUUGUACGUGCUUUUGCAGAGCGAAGAUGGUGAAAUUGUUGUCCGCGUUGAUAUUUAUAAACAACCGGCCUCUAUUAAAGAAUCAGAGUGUCCUGGUGAGACCUUCUCUAGUGGCUGCCAUUGACCAAGUACGGCAGAGAAGUGGAAGGUCCCCAAAUGGAAGAGUUCCUCUUCGAAGCAUUCCGAAGGGUAACCUUUUUGGAGCUAGCUUUUUGGAACAUGAUGGUGUGAACGAUGAUGAGCCGAGCACUGGUGGAGUAGAGGUCAGCACAAUAUGUGGCUUGAAUUGUUCAUCACUAAGAUUAAGACAUUUGUAAUAAUGAAUGAAUACCUAACAUGAAUCUGUGUAUCUUUGCAUACAUUUAGAUUGCUAGAGAAAAGGCAGGUCAACAACAAACAUAUUACAGAGUUCAAGCACAUAUUAGUUUAUGGGAUCCACUCUUCGUAAUUA